rnacentral:lncRNA from 1 species
GGCUCGGAGUCAAAAUAAUGUGUGUGGGUAAGGUGGUAUGUCAUCCUGCGCCGGUAGUGCGAACAGUUACCUUGUGAACUAACAUGUUACACAUCCGGCUAAGCGGCCUCGUUCUAGUACAAAGCAGAGUAAAUAUUCAUAAAACAUUAGCAUGUUCUCGUCUUAAUAUGUGCAUAUGUAUUUGCCACUUGACGUUAAGCAGCCAUCCUUUAACAUAUUUGGUCGGGUUCUUGUCUCUUUGAC